AUGUCUACGGACCAAAGUGGGGGACCUUCGGGCCUCACGCCAUAAAAUUAGCCCAAGUGGGAUUAGCUAGUUGGUGAGGUAAUGGCUCACCAAGGCGACGAUCCCUAGCUGGUUUGAGAGGAUGAUCAGCCACACUGGGACUGAAACACGGCCCAGACUCCUACGGGAGGCAGCAGUGGGGAAUAUUGCACAAUGGGCGCAAGCCUGAUGCAGCCAUGCCGCGUGUGUGAAGAAGGCCUUCGGGUUGUAAAGCACUUUCAGUAAGGAGGAAAGGUUAGGCGCUAAUAGCGCUUAGCUGUGACGUUACUUACAGAAAAAGCACCGGCUAACUCCGUGCCAGCAGCCGCGGUAAUACGGAGGGUGCGAGCGUUAAUCGGAAUUACUGGGCGUAAAGCGUACGCAGGCGGUUUGUUAAGCGAGAUGUGAAAGCCCCGGGCUCAACCUGGGAACUGCAUUUCGAACUGGCAAACUAGAGUGUGAUAGAGGGUGGUAGAAUUUCAGGUGUAGCGGUGAAAUGCGUAGAGAUCUGAAGGAAUACCGAUGGCGAAGGCGGCCACCUGGGUCAACACUGACGCUCAUGUACGAAAGCGUGGGGAGCAAACAGGAUUAGAUACCCUG
rnacentral:rRNA from 1 species